rnacentral:rRNA from 1 species
AGAGUUUGAUCAUGGCUCAGGAUGAACGCUAGCUACAGGCUUAACACAUGCAAGUCGAGGGGCAGCAUGUUGGUUGCUUGCAACCAACGAUGGCGACCGGCGCACGGGUGAGUAACGCGUAUCCAACCUACCCUUGUCCAUCGGGAUAACCCGUCGAAAGGCGGCCUAACACGAUAUGCGGUUCACAGCAGGCAUCUAACGUGAACGAAAUGUAAAGGAGAAGGAUGGGGAUGCGUCUGAUUAGCUUGUUGGCGGGGUAACGCCACCAAGGCUACGAUCAGUAGGGGUUCUGAGAGGAAGGUCCCCCANAUUGGAACUGAGACACGGUCCAAACUCCUACGGGAGGCA